UGGUGUCCAAAUUGCUUUUAAAGUCCAGGGCACUAUAUAGUUUUUAGUAGUUAGGGAUUAGGGUGGGAAUUCGGACAUAGUCAGUGUCUUUAAAUUCGGACGUUACUUCCAUUCAAUGACAUCAUCAAUAGUUGCUGGUCAGCUAUGUUAGCGUGUAGCUUCCAGCGCUUUGAAAAUACAUAGCAACAUUAGUUUGAUAUUUAAAAAAGUCAUGGUAAAACAUAAAGUUGUGACUUAAAUUCAAACGUUAACACAAUUGCGUUUGUCCUCCGCGGCACAGAACGUAUACUGCGGAGGGAUACACAGCCUCCCAUCCAUUUUCCUAAAAAAAACGAUUCUGGACACCACUGCCGCUCCAAAUGCCCCUACAAUUGAAGGGGUAGGAGAAGAAUUCAGGCAAAUGCCUAUUAGGCAACGUCGGGAGCUGUUGGAGAAAAAGAACAGAUGUUGGUUGAAGUCGGCGUGGCCAUGUGAAGGGGCGAUGACACACCUUGCGGAGAACUGACCUGUGGGUCUCAGUGGGCAGUCUCUGAAGCUAGUUUAAAGGAAUAAAGAGGCAGUUUUAAGCUUCAAAUAGACCUAAAGAGGCAUUUUGUUGAGUUUUAUAUCCUAAUUCAAAUGAAAUUCCACUGGAAUCAUGUUGGAACUGCAACAGGUAUAGAUCGCUCAAAAUAUGCAAAACCAUUUGAGGAUUUUAUGCAAAUCCAUCAAUGACUCUCAUGUUAUAGCAACAAGUUCACUUUUUUUUUUUUUCCUUUUUCCUUCUAUGUUAAGAAACAAAACCCCCCCUGAAGGCUUUUUUUUUCUUUUAGUUUUCCUCUACUGACUGUCUGGGAUUUUUUUUUUUUUCUUUUUAGAAAACUGGUUCCGAUUUAAUGAUCUCAUAUCAAUCUGCCUCAGACAGAUCAUUUGUCAAAUCUCUUCAUUCUGUAUCAACAUACCUCCUCCUCUUUCAGACAUUUUUCUCUCUGAAAAAAAUAUAUAUCAAGUUUGAAUUUGCCUGAAGUUUAAGAGAUUAGGAAAAAUUGAUGGUUUGCGAAAAUCCCAAAGAUUGGUAUUUAAAAAAAAAA